AACGAACGCUGGCGGCAGGCCUAACACAUGCAAGUCGAGCGCGCCCUUCGGGGUGAGCGGCGGACGGGUGAGUAACGCGUGGGAACGUGCCCUUUGCUACGGAAUAGUCUCGGGAAACUGGGGGUAAUACCGUAUGAGCCCUUCGGGGGAAAGAUUUAUCGGCAAAGGAUCGGCCCGCGUUGGAUUAGGUAGUUGGUGGGGUAAUGGCUCACCAAGCCGACGAUCCAUAGCUGGUUUGAGAGGAUGAUCAGCCACACUGGGACUGAGACACGGCCCAGACUCCUACGGGAGGCAGCAGUGGGGAAUCUUAGACAAUGGGCGCAAGCCUGAUCUAGCCAUGCCGCGUGAGCGAUGAAGGCCUUAGGGUUGUAAAGCUCUUUCGUGGGGGAAGAUAAUGACUGUACCCCCAAGAAGAAGCCCCCGGCUAACUCCGUGCCAGCAGCCGCGGUAAU
rnacentral:rRNA from 1 species